CACGCGGGCAUCACCCUCAGGAGGGACAUAAGGGUCUAUAAUACUGGCUGUGCAGGCCAAGUAAAAGGUUCGUUCCAUGCGCUCCUCAGGAAGCGUUCUGAUCAAAGACUGCAGCCUCUUCUCCUUCUCUUCAUGGGGCAGCUCCCGGGCCCACUCGGGGACAAAAAGUCUCCGCUUCGUCCUCACAGGGACAACGAGGAAGGCUGGAACAGCUCUGGGGGGACGCAGCAGCGAUUCCAUGGCCCCGCGGCCCAGCCUGCUCAGCCCCGCCGCCAUGGCGGCCGCCAUCUUCCCGCCGCA
rnacentral:lncRNA from 1 species